rnacentral:rRNA from 1 species
UACGUAGGGUGCGAGCGUUGUCCGGAAUUACUGGGCGUAAAGAGCUCGUAGGUGGUUUGUCGCGUUGUCCGUGAAAACUCACAGCUUAACUGUGGGCGUGCGGGCGAUACGGGCAGACUGGAGUACUGCAGGGGAGACUGGAAUUCCUGGUGUAGCGGUGAAAUGCGCAGAUAUCAGGAGGAACACCGGUGGCGAAGGCGGGUCUCUGGGACGGUACUGACGCUGGAGGCACGAAAGCGUGGGGAGCGAACAGG